rnacentral:piRNA from 1 species
UGCAUGAGCAAUGCCUCAGUGCUGAGAAGGU